UGAUCCAGAGUACCACGGGACACGUGAAACCCUGUGGGAAGCAGGAGGGACCACCCUCCAAGGCUAAAUACUACCUAGUGACCGAUAGCGUAUAGUACCGUGAGGGAAAGGUGAAAAGAACCCCGGGAGGGGAGUGAAAUAGAACCUGAAACCCUGCACUUACAAGCUGUGGAAGCACAUUUCUUGUGUGACCGCGUACUUUUUGUAGAACGGGCCAACGAGUUACGUUAAGUAGCAAGGUUAAGCACUUAAGGUGCGGAGCCGUAGCGAAAGCGAGUUUUAACUGAGCGUUCAGUUACUUGACGUAGACCCGAAACCGGGCGACCUACCCAUGAGCAGGAUGAAGCGAAAGUAAAAUUUCGUGGAGGUCCGAACCCACGAGCGUUGAAAAGCUCGGGGAUGACUUGUGGGUAGCGGUGAAAUUCCAAUCGAGCCCGGAGAUAGCUGGUUCUCCCCGAAAUAGCUUUAGGGCUAGCCUCAAGGUGAGAGAUACGGAGGUAGAGCACUGAAUGUCCUAGGGGGUAUUGCACCUACCGAAGACUAUCAAACUCCGAAUGCCGUCAUCUUAUACUUGGGAGUCAGACUGUGGGUGAUAAGAUUCAUAGUCGAAAGGGCAACAGCCCAGAUCGUCAGCUAAGGUCCCUAAAUGUAAGUUAAGUGGUAAAGGAUGUGGGAUUGCACAGACAACCAGGAUGUUGGCUUAGAAGCAGCCACUCAUUCAAAGAGUGCGUAAUAGCUCACUGGUCGAGUGAUCCUGCGCCGAAGAUUUCCGGGGCUAAAACUUACUACCGAAGCUACGGCAUCAGUAAUGAUGGGUAGGGGAGCUUCCCAUACGGGUUGAAGCAUGACCGUAAGGACAUGUGGACAGUAUGGGAGUGAGAAUGUUGGCAUGAGUAGCGAGAUGUGGGUGAGAAUCCCACAGGCCGUAAACCCAAGGUUUCCAGGGGAAGGUUCGUCCGCCCUGGGUUAGUCGGGACCUAAGCUGAGGCCGAAAGGCGUAGGUGAUGGACAACAGGUUGAUAUUCCUGUACUACCGAUAACCGUUUGAGAGAAGGGAUGACACAGUAGGAUAAGCUAAGCACACUGUUGGUUAUGUGUGCCCAAGCAUUGAGGCAGUCAAAGUAGGCAAAUCCGCUUUGAUAAUGCUGGGAUGUGAUGGGGAGCGAAAUUUAGUAGCGAAGUAGCUGAUUUCACACUGUCAAGAAAAGUCUCUAUCGAGGUUAAAGGUACCCGUACCGCAAACCGACACAGGUGGGUGAGGAGAGUAUCCUAAGGCCAGCGAGAGAACUGUUGUUAAGGAACUCGGCAAAAUGACCCCGUAACUUAGGGAUAAGGGGUGCCACCAUCAGGUGGCCGCAGAGAAUAGGCCCAAGCGACUGUUUACCAAAAACAUAGGUUUCUGCUAAGUCGCAAGACGAUGUAUAGGAGCUGACGCCUGCCCGGUGCUGGAAGGUUAAGGGGAUCUGUUAGAGCAAUCGAAGCAGUGAACUUAAGCCCCAGUAAACGGCGGCCGUAACUAUAACGGUCCUAAGGUAGCGAAAUUCCUUGUCGGGUAAGUUCCGACCCGCACGAAAGGCGUAACGAUUUGGGCACUGUCUCAACAACAGACUCGGUGAAAUUGUAAUUCCGGUGAAGAUGCCGGAUACCUGCGACAGGACGGAAAGACCCCAUGGAGCUUUACUGUAGCUUGACAUUGGGUCUUGGUACUACAUGUACAGGAUAGGUGGGAGGCUUUGAAACCAGGACGCCAGUUUUGGCGGAGCCAUCCUUGGGAUACCACCCUUGUAGUACUGGGACUCUAACCAUAGGCCAUGAAUCUGGUCUUGGGACACUGUCAGGUGGGCAGUUUGACUGGGGCGGUCGCCUCCCAAAAGGUAACGGAGGCGCUCAAAGGUUCUCUCAGUACGGUCGGAAAUCGUACGUAGAGUGUAAAGGCAAAAGAGAGCUUGAUUGCAAGACAUACAGGUCGAGCAAGGAUGAAAAUCGGACUUAGUGAUCCGGUGGUUCUGCGUGGAAGGGCCAUCGCUCAACGGAUAAAAGCUACCCUGGGGAUAACAGGCUUAUCUCCCCCAAGAGUCCACAUCGACGGGGAGGUUUGGCACCUCGAUGUCGGCUCAUCACAUCCUGGGGCUGUAGUAGGUCCCAAGGGUUGGGCUGUUCGCCCAUUAAAGUGGUACGCGAGCUGGGUUCAGAACGUCGUGAGACAGUUCGGUCCCUAUCCGUCGCAGGCGUAGGAAAUUUGAGAAGACCUGUCCUUAGUACGAGAGGACCGGGAUGGACGUACCUCUGGUGUACCAGUUGUCCUGCCAAGGGCAUG
rnacentral:rRNA from 1 species